rnacentral:rRNA from 1 species
GGUUGAUCCUGCCGGAGGUCACUGCUAUCGGUGUUCGACUAAGCCAUGCGAGUCAAAUGUUCUUCGUGAACAUGGCGCACUGCUCAGUAACACGUGGAUAACCUGCCCUUAGGUCUGGCAUAACCCCGGGAAACUGGGGAUAAUUCCGGAUAGAUCAUGGAUGCUGGAAUGCACCGUGGUCGAAAGCUUUUGUGCCUAAGGAUGGGUCUGCGGUCUAUCAGGUUGUAGUGGGUGUAACGUACCUACUAGCCUACGACGGAUACGGGUUGUGGGAGCAAGAGCCCGGAGAUGGAUUCUGAGACAUGAAUCCAGGCCCUACGGGGCGCAGCAGGCGCGAAAACUUUACAAUGCGGGAAACCGCGAUAAGGGGACACCGAGUGCCAGCAUCCUAUGUUGGCUGUCCAUAUGUAUAAAUAACAUGUGUUAGCAAGGGCCGGGCAAGACCGGUGCCAGCCGCCGCGGUAACACCGGCGGCCCGAGUGGUGGCCACUAUUAUUGGGUCUAAAGGGUCCGUAGCCGGUUUGGUCAGUCUUCCGGGAAAUCUGACGGCUUAACCGUUAGGCUUUCGGGGGAUACUGCCAGGCUUGGGACCGGGAGAGGUAAGAGGUACUACGGGGGUAGGAGUGAAAUCUUGUAAUCCCUGUGGGACCACCAGUGGCGAAGGCGUCUUACCAGAACGGGUCCGACGGUGAGGGACGAAAGCUGGGGGCACGAACCGGAUUAGAUACCCGGGUAGUCCCAGCCGUAAACUAUGCUCGCUAGGUGUCAGGGACGGUGCGACCGUUUCUGGUGCCGUAGGGAAGCCGUGAAGCGAGCCACCUGGGAAGUACGGUCGCAAGGCUGAAACUUAAAGGAAUUGGCGGGGGAGCACUACAACGGGUGGAGCCUGCGGUUUAAUUGGAGUCAACGCCGGA